rnacentral:rRNA from 1 species
AACGAACGCUGGCGGCAGGCUUAACACAUGCAAGUCGAGCGCCUCGCAAGAGGAGCGGCAGACGGGUGAGUAACACGUGGGAAUCUACCCAUCCCUACGGAACAACUCCGGGAAACUGGAGCUAAUACCGUAUACGCCCUUCGGGGGAAAGAUUUAUCGGGGAUGGAUGAGCCCGCGUUGGAUUAGCUAGUUGGUGGGGUAAAGGCCUACCAAGGCGACGAUCCAUAGCUGGUCUGAGAGGAUGAUCAGCCACAUUGGGACUGAGACACGGCCCAAACUCCUACGGGAGGCAGCAGUGGGGAAUAUUGGACAAUGGGCGCAAGCCUGAUCCAGCCAUGCCGCGUGAGUGAUGAAGGCCUUAGGGUUGUAAAGCUCUUUCACCGAUGAAGAUAAUGACGGUAGUCGGAGAAGAAGCCCCGGCUAACUUCGUGCCAGCCGCCGCGAUAAAAC